UUUGGACAUGGGCGCAAGCCUGNUCCAGCAAUGCCGCGUGUGUGAAGAAGGCCUGCGGGUUGUAAAGCACUUUCAGUGGGGAGGAAGGUCUUGGUACUAAUACUGCCAAGAAUUGACGUUACCCAAAGAAGAAGCACCGGCUAACUCUGUGCCAGCAGCCGCGGUAAUACAGAGGGUGCAAGCGUUAAUCGGAAUUACUGGGCGUAAAGGGCGCGUAGGUGGUUGAUUAAGUCAGAUGUGAAAUCCCUGGGCUUAACCUAGGAAUUGCAUUUGAUACUGGUCGGCUAGAGUGUGGGAGAGGGAAGUGGAAUUUCCAGUGUAGCNGGUGAAAUGCGUAGAUAUUGGAAGGAACACCAGUGGCGAAGGCGACUUCCUGGACCACUACUGACACUGAGGCGCGAAAGCGUGGGGAGCGAACAGGAUUAGAUACCCUGGUAGUCCACGCCGUAAACGAUGAGAACUAGAUGUUGGGAAGCUUAGGCUUUUCAGUAUCGCAGCAAACGCGUUAAGUUCUCCGCCUGGGGAGUACGGCCGCAAGGUUAAAACUCAAAAAAAUUGACGGA
rnacentral:rRNA from 1 species